GGAGCAGUGACAGGACUGAAGGCUAGAGAGAACCCUCUUGAAAAGUGGAUGCUGGGCAUGGAAUCUGAGGCCCAGGCAGUUUAGGCAGUUUGCCUGAAGUCACACAGCUGAUGGGCUGGGCUUUGUACCCUCAGGCAGCUGACUCCAGAGCCCACGCUCUUCUCUUUAUCUCUCUGGGGAUCUUGCUCCAAAUUUGCACCUCAACGUCCUCUGUUGAGGGGCUGGGACCAGCAGGGCACACGCUUCAUACACAAAGCCCAGCACUGGAAAGAGGGAUGAUGUCUCCAUCAAAAACCAGCUCCCAAGCCUCAGCCUGGACACUCUGGCCCACCCCAGGGCCUGUGUCCACCCUGCAUGCCCCUCCGGAGCCCAGAACAAAGAAAGGAGAUUUAACUGCAUCGGAGGUUGGGAGAGUCAGAUCCAAACAGCACUUGGGCAGGCCUCACCCACAGCCUCCAGGAACCCCUCCAUGGGAACCAGGGCUCAGAGACACACUCCAUACCACUCCAGGCAACAACAGUGUGGCUCAUUCAUCUUGGCACUGACAGGGGCAGCUCACGGACAGCACUCAACAAGAACUGUGGAACCACCACUACUGGUCUCCUUUCGUGUCUUCUGUCACAUGAAUCAGAAGACCUGGCUGUUUAGCCUUUCUGAGCUCAAUUUCCUCCUUCUUUAAGAUAGGAGAAACCACGUCUACCUCGCUGGAGUGGCAGGAUAAAUAAGUGAGGAUACGGAUAUAAGAAAGAGGCCUGAAAGGAAGUACAAAAACCUGGAAGAGAGAAGCUCUGAGAACACCCUGAAGACUUGCUGACCGCUCUGGCCUUUAAAAUGCGAGGAGUAUGGUAAUCUAAUAAACGUGGCAACAAAGCCUUUGUCACCAAGCUAAUUUUAUUAGAACAGAUCUCAAAUGGCUAAUUUCCUUUUACUAAUGAGCAAAUUAGUUGAAUCUCUGAUCUGCUUUUAAGGCACUUAUACUAAUAAAACAUGAACGACAGUGAAAUUUGUUGUGAGAUGUGGUGACAUCCUUGGGUUGCAGUGAGUCUCCAAGCUUGGAGGGUUGUUCUGACGUGGCCUGGCCCAGGGGGGCCUCCUGUCUGUGCAGGUCUGCUCAGAGCCCAGCCCCGCCUGAGGGAGGCAGGGUGUCAGAGGGGGACACAGGAUGGAGGAGGAAGGAGGGAGGAGGAGGAGGAGGAUGGAGGGGACAGGAGAGGAGAAUGGAGGCGGGGGAGCAGCAGGAGGUGGAUGGAGGAGGAGGAGACGGAAGAGGAGGACGGAGGAGAAUAGAGGAGGAUAGCAGAGGAGGAGGAUGGAGGAGGAAGAUGGAAGAGGAGAAAGGUGGAGGAAUCAGAGAAAGGAGGCAGGAGAUGGAAGAGGAUGGAGGAGGAAAUGGAGGUGGAAGUAAAGGAAUAUGGAGGAGGAGGAAGAAAGAGGAGUCAAAUGGAGGAGGAUGGAGGAGGGGGAAGAAGAGGAGGAGGAUCAGUGAGGAGCAGGGGGCCCAGGCCAACGCAGAGCAAGCAGUGAGGGGCCAGGAUGGGGCCCCAGUGCAGGCUGUACCCGCCUGAGCCCCUGGUUUGAUUGUCAGACCCGGGGAGCCUCAGGGAAGCUAGGUGAGGCAUGUGGGGGAACUUGCUGUGCUGAUUGUUAAUUCAAAAUAAAAAGGCUUAAAAAGUCGAUAUGAGCAUACUCCACGCACUGCUAACAAGCAGGGGAAGAGCAGGAGGGAAGGACAGUGAGGAUUGUUGGGGCACGGAGCUCGUCCUGCAGGGGACAGAGGACAUAUGCACCUGGGUCUCCUGCUCCUUGGGCUCACACCUGCCCUCCCUCACCUGUGCCCUGCGUGGUGACAGGACCCUUCCCCUGGGGUGCUUGACCUUCAGGGGUUAAGGACUAAGUGCUGACCCUGUUCCACUGGUCUGCACUGUGGACCCAGAGGCUUCACUGUCGGGAGGAAUGGCAGUCCUUCCCACAGUUCUGCCCACUGCCUGGCACCCACUCUGCUUCCUGUCCACAUAGUUGGAGGCACUCGUGCUCUGCGAUAGGCUCUGCAACACUCGCACUGCCCCACUUGACCUUCACGUCCCUUUCUAGACAACUCUCACAGAGAUUGGUAAGACAGGUGAGCGUAACCUGCUCCCUCUUCCCUUGGGGCCACUUUUGGAACAGUGGCCAAUGAGUGGGCAGCGCUGGCCUACCUGGGCUGAGGCCAAGGGUGACACUGACCCCCUGGCACUGACAGUGAUCCGGCCUCAUGCAGCCCUCCCACAGCAUCCUGGGGUGUGGGGUGCUGCCCGUGGUGCCUCCAGGAGAGGAGACUGAGGUUAGAGCUUCGACAACUCGCCCAGGGCCCCACCACUCACUCAGAAGCCCCGCACUGUGUGAUGCUAGACUCUAGCCUUGACCUCUCCAGCCUGUCUAGAUUUGGGGACCCCUGGACAGGUGAUGAGCAUCUGUCCUGAGGGCUGGAACAGGGGCACAGCCCCCUGUCCCAAGUUCUCUAGACUUGUCACCCACCCCAUGCCCCUUGUAUGCUCCCUGGUGGUUCAGUCCAUCUGGGUGUUCUCCAGGACCUCAUGUCCCACAAGGUAAACCCAAACCCUCCCGAUUGAUUGGUGCUGUUCUCUAGGUUGAUUCACCAGCCAGAAUCAGUUAAGAUUUAAGGAGAAUGGAGUAGAUGUAAGAGUUCCUGUUGCCUAUUAAGGACUGGGUGCUUGCCUGGUCUGUGGAAGCGCCUGGAAGCUGGUCCUAGAGACCUCUGGUCUCCAAUCCCUGCUCUACCCUGCUGCAGGGACAUCCCCAGGUUAAGUGCAUGGUCCAGGGAACAGCUGAGAGGGCAGGAGCAAGGGGGUGUCCAUGGGUGGGAGUGCCCCUGGAAGUUCUUUCAAUCUAUGUGCAGUUCUCAACUCCCACCUUCAGGAUCCCUCAGGAUUGGGAUGGUGGGGAAUGUGGCUCUGAGGACGGAUUUUGUUAAAUUCAUAAAUCAUCAAAUUCAGCCAUUAAAGUAUACAACUCAGUGGUUUUUAGAGUAUUUACAGAGUUGUGCAGUUGUCAUCACUAUUUCCACAGCGUUUCACUACCCCACAAAGAAAUCUCUUACCCAUCAGCAGGUGCCCCCAUGGCCCUCUCCCCCAGCCCCUGUGGACCACUGGACCACUUGCUGUGUCUAUAGAUCUGGCUAUUCUGGACAUUUCAUAUAAAUGGAAUCAUACAAUAUGUAGCCUUUUGUGUCUGACUUCUUUCACUUAGCAUAAUGUCCAUCCAUGUAGUAGCAUGUACCAAAAUUUCGUUCCUUUCUACGGUGGAAUAAUAUUCCAUUGCAUGUAUAGAUCACAUUUUGUUUAUCCAUUCAUCUGUCCAUAGACACUUAGACUGUUUCCGCCUUUUUGCUAUUGUGAGUAGUUCUUCUAUGAAUAUGCACGUGCAAAUAUUUGAGUACCUGUUUUCACUUCUCCUGGGUCUAUACCUAUGAGCAGAAUUGCUGGGUCAUAUGGUAACUCUAGGUUUAACUUUUUGAGGAACUACCAAACUGUUUUCCACAGCAGCUGCACCAUUUUACAUUCCUUCCAGCAACAGAGGAGUGUUCUAAUUUCUCCACAUCCUCGCCAACACUUGUUCUUUUCCAUUUUCUUGGUAACAGCCAUUCCAAUGGGUGACAAGUAGUAUCUCAUUGUGGUUUUGAUUUGCAUUUCCCCGAGGGCUAACGCCAUUGCACAUCUUUUCAUGUGCUUGUUGGCCGUUAGUCUAUCACUUUAGAGAAAUGUCUGUCUAAGUCCUUUGUCCAUUUUCUAACUGGGCUAUUCGUCUUUUCAUUGUUGAGUUAUGAGUUCUUUACGUAUUCUGUAUACUAGACCUGGUAUCAGAUAGGCAAUUUGCAUUCAUUUUCACCCAUCAUGUGGGUUGCCUUUUUGCUUUCUCGAUGCUAUCAUUUGAAGCACUGAAGUUUUAAUUGUGAUGAAGUCAAGUUUAUUGAUUUUUUUUAUUGCUUGUGCUUUUGGUGUCCAAGAGCAAAAUUUGAUUCCCAGUAAGCCUGCAGGAAGCCGCUCAUCAGCAGCAGCUGCCCUCUCCUUUCCUCAGUGCCAGCGCCGGGUCGAGAGGACACCACACUGCACUGCAGAUCAGCAGUCCAUCUGACCUCUGGGUCCUCCUGUCCCUUAUAAAGCUGGCUGAAGAGAGCUUUGUAAUCUCAUUAUGACGGAAUUUCCCAGGUGGCUGGGAAGGCAGCCUGUAAGCGGGAGUGUUAGAAAGUGAGUGUGAACCUAUGAUCCACCAACCCAGGAUGUCACCCAACCUGGCUGUAGGGUUUUCUCCACUCAGAUCGGACAGCCUGGGGAGCUGCCAAGAGGGAACAGACUUGUUUGUUCUUGAAGCUCUUCAGUGCAGUGUAAUACUCAGAGUUUUUGUCUUGCAGCAUGGACACGAAGGAGGACCUGGGGAGCCAGCUGGCCCUAGAACAAGCAGCGAUAACAGCCAAAUGCAAUCAGGUAAGGCCCAGGGGGAGAUCAUAGCCACUAGGAGCAGAUACAGGCCAGGCAGGGACCAUGGCCAGCAGAAGCAGGGGAGACUCAGUGCGGGAUCAUAGCCAAGGACGAGCAGGUCCAAGCAGGAAUGAUAGUGAAGGACAAGCAGGUGAGACCCAGGCAGGAAUCAUAAGCAUCAAUAGCAGGUAAGGCCCAAGCAGGGGUCAUCCCCAGUAGAAGCAGGUACUUCCCUGGUGGGGGCCAUAGUCAAGGAUGAGCAGGAACAGCCCAGGCGGAGAUCAUAGGCAGCAGGAACAGAUGAGACCCAGGUGGGGAUCAUGUAACAGGAGCAGGUACGUCCCAGGCAGGAUCAUAGCCAAGGAUGAGCAGGUGAGGCCCAGGUGAGGAUCCUAGCCAGUAGAAGCAGGUGAGGCUGCUCCCAUUCAGGCAGGCGGGUCCUCGCCUCUUGUGCUGUGCCCAGUCAGAGGUUCCUGGGCUCCCUCAGGAUGCAGGAGCUGGCCUGCUCCCUCCUCGCCCCCUGUCCCUGGCUCUAGUAUGCCCUCACUGUGAUGCCUCCCCCCCCCACCUUGGGUUUCAGGGAUGACAUGCAGGGUGCCUGCAGAACCUGCGGAGGAUGCUGACCUCUCACUAUACAAAGUCACCGACCAUCUUGCUUUUCUGCAGUGAGUUGUCUAGACACCCCUCCAUCUCAACUCAGGGAUGGUCUCUGUUUGCAGAAACACCUCUCUGGAGGCAGGACCUGUCUCCCCAGCUCAGGGCCUUAUCCCCUGGUGCCCACUGUGGGCCAGGGUGUGCACUGGGCUCAAGCCAAGAGACCCAGCAUGCAAACUUGAGGAAAUGGGCAGGGGGUGGAGCUGGGCAUUGGGCCAGGUGCUUGGGCCUUCAGCAGUGUGGCCUCCAUGCCCGUAACGGAGAGGGGGUGAUGGUGUCCACCUCCCAGGCCAGAGGGAGAGUCCAGCCCGGUCAGCAGUGGUUCCACAGGGUGAGGGGCACCUGAGCAAGCCUGUGGGCAGUUGUCCAGCAGGUCUCCGAGGGCUCAAGUGGGCCCAGUUGAGUGGCCAUGUGGCGACUAGCAUGAGGGCAACAAGGGGUGUGGCCUCAGGCAUUGAGGGGACAGGCAGGGGGAGCAUUCUGGCAGGACCUGGCCUCAGAAUCUCAUGGGAUGGUGACAGGCAGGUCGAGUUUGAGGCUGAAGACAACCUGACCCCUUGGUCUGGUGCUAGGAGGAGAUUUGGGGUGGAAGGCGGGCCAGGUUGUUGUCAAGGGUGAGAGGAGAGGACACUGGAGGAGGAUGGGAUUAGGGUGGUGUGUGUGUGUGUGUGUGUGUGUGUGUGUCUACCUGGACGGAGCUAGCCUGCAGCAGGGCCGAAGGCGCUGGGCUCCUGGGAUGGUGGCAUCCUCUUUGGGGGAGGACAGCCUGGAAUGGGGAGAGGCCCAGGGCCAAAGCGACUCACCUGAGACACCUGAGCCAGGAGCCUCGGUCAGUCCUGAAGGCAUGAAGGCCUCUGCAGUGCUCUCUAAAGACACUGCUGGUCAAAAGUGCAGGCGAGAAGCCGUGGAGGAGGCGCCAUGAUCAGGCGGGGGAGGGGUGGUGGUGCAGAGCAGAGAGGGUGGAUGACCCCCAUCAGCAGAAGGGAGGAUGGGGAGGAGGCUGCCCUGGUGCAUGGAGUGUGAAGGUAGAGAGCGCAGCAGGCUGUGCGGUGAUGCUGCAGUGGGAGGGAAGGAAGCCAACGGCCACCAUGAGAAGCAGGCUGAGGCUGGAUACACGGCACGGGGCCAACCUGUCUGCCCCUCGGUCACACUCAUUGCCCAGUGGAUGAGCAGUUGUUUGGGCCAAUCAGGGGUGGGUCGUGCUCAGAGGUUCUGACAAGAUAAGGGGUAAAAGAUAGGCCAGAGUGGCUGAAGUGACGGACGAGAGAGGGGUGAAGUCAGGGGACGGGAGGGGUGCAGAGAGAGGCAGGAUAGACGGCAGACAGACCCAUGAGGGGCAUGAGGAUGUCAGCAGGAUGGGCACAGGGUGUACCCUGGCUGUACUGGGGAGUUCUCAGGCUGGCCCAACCCCAGGACAGUGGCAGGUCACCUUCUGGGGGCCUGCUAUCAGGACGCAGCCCAUUCCCCGUGCCAGCACUGUCCCUUCUUAGGCUCCUACAGAGGCCACUGCCUCUGGCAUGACUGUGGCUGGAGCCCCAUAAGCACCUGGCAGCCGCUGCCCUCCCUCUGCCCCAUGUUGCUGGCACCCUCCUGGGGUUAGCCCUCCCUUCCAGAGUCACCUGGGCUGAGACUUGGGGUUUAGUGAGGGGAGGGCCUGGUCCUUCCCUGGCACCUGGCCUGGGGCAGGUCCUCAUGGCUCUGCUUCUUUUGCCUUCCAGUGAGAAGGAGCUGCCCAGCCUCAGCACCCGGGGCGGGGGGGGGGGGGGGGGGGGGGGGGCCGGUAAUGGUAAGAGCUUGUCCUCACUGUGCAGGCAGGAGGAGGUCCAUGGGUGCAGGGACUGGGGUUCCUGCCACCCCCGACCUCCAAGCUGUCCUGGGGGAGGUUUUACCAAAUCCACUUGUCCCAGAACCACACACUCAGCUCAGGGGUCACUGCCCGCUGGCUGCCAAGACCCCACCUCGAGGCUGGGACCCAGCUGGAAGCCCUGGUGUCUGUGUGAGUCAGUCUGUGCCUUUUCUGGCUCCUCUGAGUUCGCCCACAUCGGGGCUCCUAAGCAUGACUCAACGCUGUGCCACUCCAGGAAAGCUGGCAGCUUGGCUAACACCACCAUUUCUCAUUUUCUAGCAGAAACUCCGGGAGACUGGGCGAGCAGAUAAGUGGGUCAAGAUGCUAAAGGAAUGGUAUAAAUACCAGAGCAGCAAGAAGAUAGAGAACUGAGCACUAGAUAGGCGGUAUGCUCUCCUGAUCCCAAGGAGGACGGGCCUGGAUCCCCAGGGCAGCUCGCAGCUUCCCUGACCACCCCACAAGGGUCACCUCGCCUGGAGAGGAUCUGACGCCAGAGCCGGAGCCAGCCCAGGCCCAGGGCCUCAUAGGGAAGGAUAAGUCAGGACCAUAGUUCACAAUGUCCCUCGAGCCCUCGUCCACUCUUAAUUGUGGGAGACAGGGCCCAGUUCUGGGUAAACCCAACCUCUUCUGAGAAACCACGGAGCUGAAGACUAGAAUCUUCCAGAUGCGUCCGACUCAUCUCCUCCGCAGCGUCGCCCUGUGGCCUGUUUCACCAGAGCUUUCUUCUAUCCUGUAGAAGCAUCGAAGGUCUCCAAAGGAAUCCUUUGACAGAUGCAAGAUCAGGUGUGGUCUCUCCGAUUGGACGUUCAGAAGCUAAAGGCAGAGAAUGAAGGAAAACCUGAGGUGGCCCUUCUGCACCCGGCAGAGGCAGCGCUGACAGGCCAAGCCCUCCCAGGAGCUUGCUUAAGGGAGCAGGUCGUGUACCACGGGGACCCCUCGCCUGUCCUGAGCACUUUCCUGGUACCUCCUAGACUCAACGGCUUGGGGCACUCCUGCUGGGAAAGCCCUGCCCCUCUCUAUGCUGCCUGGGCCUCAGUUCCGCCCAGCUCAGCCCAGUGCAGACAUUGGAUCCAGGGAUGGAUGGACGCCACUGGAAUCAAACCAAGGCCUCUCAGACACCUGAGUGGGGGCCAGAGUCACACAGCAAAGGAUAGAAACCAGGGAAAAAGAGCAAGGAAGCACACGCACACAAACCAUAAAAUGAGAAAAGCAAAACCAAACAGACGUGAACAACAGAUAUAAGUUAAAUUGAAUAAACAGAAAAAGACUUAAUUGAGACAAUAAACGGGUCUUUUCCCAUCCCCCCAGUGAGGAGCCUGCACCUGGCUUCAUUCUCAAUGCUCACGUCUCCCACUAGGGUGCCCCCCAGGUCGUACUGCCUCAGGGAGGGAAAGGGCAGUGAUGCACCCAGACCAAGUGGGACCGGCCCAGCGAAGCCUGGACACUGGGAAAUGCAGCUGGGAGAGGGUAUAGAGAUGGUCACACUUCAAUGAGCAGCCCAAGAAUAGAUAAUUGCUUAAUGUGGUAAAUAGAUAUGGAUGUAGACACCCAUUGAUAAUUGUGGAGCAACAACCAGCAUCAUGCUUAAUUGUGAAACCCUCAAAGGGCACCCGUAAAACUGGAGACAAGAAGAGGGUCUAGUUACCCAUUGCACAGCUUGUUACCGUGGUCCUGCAAAUGGGCUCAGUGCGAUGGGACAGGAUAAGUAAGGCAUUUAGAGAAGAGGCAGGAUUAUUUUUGGCUGUGGAAUGCUGUCCUGGCAAGAGGGUGAGCC
rnacentral:lncRNA from 1 species